AGAGUUUGAUCAUGGCUCAGAUUGAACGCUGGCGGCAUGCUUUACACAUGCAAGUCGAGCGGCAGCGCGGGGGCAACCCUGGCGGCGAGCGGCGAACGGGUGAGUAAUGCAUCGGAACGUGUCCCGUAGUGGGGGAUAACUCAGCGAAAGCUGGGCUAAUACCGCAUAUGCUCUACGGAGGAAAGGGGGGGACCCGCAAGGGCCUCCCGCUAUGGGAGCGGCCGAUGUCCGAUUAGCUUGUUGGUGAGGUAAAGGCUUACCAAGGCGACGAUCGGUAGCUGGUCUGAGAGGAUGAUCAGCCACACUGGGACUGAGACACGGCCCAGACUCCUACGGGAGGCAGCAGUGGGGAAUUUUGGACAAUGGGGGAAACCCUGAUCCAGCCAUGCCGCGUGUGUGAAGAAGGCCUUCGGGUUGUAAAGCACUUUCGGACGGAACGAAAUCGCGCGUGCGAACACCACGCGUGGAUGACGGUACCGUAAGAAGAGA
rnacentral:rRNA from 1 species